AUUGAACGCUGGCGGCAGGCUUAACACAUGCAAGUCGAGCGGGGUGAUGGUGCUUGCACUAUCACUUAGCGGCGGACGGGUGAGUAAUGCUUAGGAAUCUGCCUAUUAGUGGGGGACAACAUCUCGAAAGGGAUGCUAAUACCGCAUACGUCCUACGGGAGAAAGCAGGGGAUCACCUGUGACCUUGCGCUAAUAGCUGAGCCUAAGUCGGAUUAGCUAGUUGGUGGGGUAAAGGCCUACCAAGGCGACGAUCUGUAGCGGGUCUGAGAGGAUGAUCCGCCACACUGGGACUGAGACACGGCCCAGACUCCUACGGGAGGCAGCAGUGGGGAAUAUUGGACAAUGGGGGAACCCUGAUCCAGCCAUGCCGCGUGUGUGAAGAAGGCCUUAUGGUUGUAAAGCACUUUAAGCGAGGAGGAGGCUCUUUUGGUUAAUACCCAAGAUGAGUGGACGUUACUCGCAGAAUAAGCACCGGCUAACUCUGUGCCAGCAGCCGCAGUAA
rnacentral:rRNA from 1 species